GGAGAAGAUUUUUGUAAAAGUUAACGACGACGGACGACGGACGACGACGACGACGGACGCCAAGUGAUGGGAAAAAGCGAUUUUAGAUUUAAUCUAAUCAGUACUUUCACAAUUGCCAUGCUUCAUGUUCAUAAAUGAAAAAGUUGGGGGGAAAAUGAAACGCCACCCUACAGACUGACCCAUAGUGUUUAUAUAAUUGUAAUUGGGUAUACAACAUAUUUUUCGUGGACUUAUAUAUUUAAAGGCACAUGCAUAUUUAAAUAAAAAGCUUUAGUUCUUGCAAAGUUCUCAGAAUCAAAAUAAUUCCUUUCAAUCGCCAUUUGUGAGUCAUUACUUAACAUUUAAUCAAAUAGUUUAAAACAAUGAGAUGUGUUCAUACAUACCUGACAACAUUUCAAAAUGCCUAUGUUUUUUUGUGCAAGAUAGCUCUCAUAGUCCUACAAAACCUUUAAAGGGGCCUUCAAAUUUAUUUUGAUAUCGUUUAUUUGCAUCUUAAUACUUUUUAUUCCUAUGCCCAUGGCAAAAUUUAUUGUUUUGUUUUAAAUUGUGGACAAAGAUUCUAUUUGGGAUGCUCCAUGGGGGAAAUCUCCCACAAAUACUGACAGUUGGCAGGUAUGUCAAUCAUACAUCAGAGAUAUUGAACAUAUAUAAAUUAUGAAGUAUAACAUCAUUAUAAACAUAUGCAUUUUGUUUAAGAAAUGAAAAAAGAUGACAGGCUUUAUACAGUUAAUAUCAAAGAGAUAGCAAUAAAAUCAUAAGAAAUGCCAAAAAGACAUCUAGAGG
rnacentral:lncRNA from 1 species